GGCAGCGAGAGGCCCGCGCUGAGGCGGCGCAGCGCAAAGGGGCGGACGCUGAGGGCGGCCAGGGCGCGGCCGGCCGCCGGGAACUCGAGGCGCAGCGUGACGGCGGCGUGCAGCCCCACGGCCGGGCUGUAGCGCGUGAGCUCCAGGAACACAGCGCGGCUCCUGCGCAGAGGGUGCGGGGUCUGGCUGGACUAAAGGCAAAACUAAAGCCCAGAAGACAGACCAGUGCACCGGAUGCCCGUACCGCGUGAUGGCCAGGAAGGCCCGGCUGUGCAGCUCCUGCUUGAUGGCGCUUUGCAGACGGAGCCAGUGACCACCGAGGCUGUGCCACUGCAUCGGGCCACCAUGCUGAUAUGCCCGGUCCCAGAGCUGCUAGAGAAGAGGUACAGAGGCAGCGAAGACACGUUGAGGGGGAGGACGAGACCAACUGCGAGACGCCGAGUCCCGGGCUCUCAGGACGCUCUCCC
rnacentral:lncRNA from 1 species